AUUGAACGCUGGCGGCAGGCCUAACACAUGCAAGUCGAGCGGAACGGCGGACGGGCGAGUAAUGCCUAGGAAUCUGACUGGAAGAGGGGGAUAAAGAACGGAAACGGGCGCUAAUAACGCACACUAUCAGAUGAGACUAGGUCGGAUUAGCUAGUUGGUGGGGUAAAGGACUACCAAGGCGACGAUCCGUAACUGGUCUGAGAGGAUGAUCAGUCAAACUGGAACGUAGACACGGUCCAGACUCCUACGGUAGGCAGCAGUGGGGAAUAUUGGACAAUGGGCGAAAGCCUGAUCCAGCCAUGCCGCGUGUGUGAAGAAGGUCUUCGGAUUGUAAAGCACUUUAAGUUGGGAGGCGUUACCAACAGAAUAAGCACCGGCUAACUUCGUGCCAGCAGCCGCGGUAAUUC
rnacentral:rRNA from 1 species